rnacentral:rRNA from 1 species
AGUGAACGCUGGCGGCGUGCCUAAUACAUGCAAGUCGAACGGAGUGGCGCAAGGGUGAGUAAUAUAUAGCUAAUCUGCCCCUUGCUGGAGGACAACAGUUAGAAAUGACUGCUAAUACUCCAUAGCAAGGGAUGAGACUAUAUCGGAUCAGCUAGUCGGUGGGGUAACGGCCUACCGAGGCUAUGACGCGUAACUGGUCUGAGAGGAUGAUCAGUCAAAUUUGAACUGAGACACAGUCCAAAAUCCUUCGGGAAGCAGCAGUAGGUAAUAUUGCACAAUGGGGAGAACGCUGACGCAGCAACGCCGCGUGGAGGAUGACACUUUUCGGAGCAUAAACUCCUUGUGUUAAGGAAGCGGUACCUAACGAAUAAGCAACGGCUAACACCGUGCCAGCCGCCGCGGUAAUUC